CUCUUCCUCAAGCAAAAAGAGGAGGAUUGGCAAUAAAUGUUAGCUCAGGGCUAAUCUUCCUCACCAAAAAAAGAGAGAACAUCAGGUCAAAGGGCCCUGCGUGGUGGGUAAAGCCACCCACGUCCAGCCGCGUGGACAGUGCACUACCACAUCUCUGCCCUAAUAGGAUAGGUGCUAAGUGUACGGUUGCUCUGUCACUUGGGCCUGGAGAGAGGCUAGAUGGGAGGCGGAAGGAGGAAACCUGAGGCCUGGAGCUGAAUAACAAUCCCUCUAAGCCACGAUUCGCAUUUAUAUUGCUUUCUGCAUUUUCUAAUCCCUUCUGGUCACUAAUGAAGCUUAUGCUCGAGCAUUAUGAAUCCCGCUUCCAACUGGAAAAACAAACACCAGGAAAGUGCUUUCCCCCACAAAGAAAAUGCUGGCAGAAUUCACGCCUCAUCAGACUCUGAAGUGCAUUCUGGGGACAGCAGGACCCUGCCUCCUGAGGAGGUGGGAGUAUCUCGGGAAGCCACCCAGGGCAGGAGCAGAGAGACCAGAGGGCAAGGGUCCUGGCCAGAGCACCCGCACAGGGCCCGGGACUUCCAGAUCCUAAAACAACCUGCCCUCCUUGCCUUCACACAGUGCAGGUAAAAAUGUGAGCGUGGUGCCUGCUGUGCAACGGCUGCUCAAGAAAUGGUCCCCAUUCCCUCUCCCAGCUGAAAACUCACCAUCUCUCAAGGCUCCCCCAGUGGUCAAAUGCCGUAAGAAGCCUUUCCUGAAUCGCAAACUCUAAUCCUCGUCUUCCAUAUUUUCCUCUUGAGAUCUAUAUUCAGACUACAUCACUUAUCCAUAUACUUCUCUGAGUUCCCCUGGGAGAAUAUAAACCACGGAUGAAAUUGCUGCACGUGGGCCUGGCUGGCUGCUCUUCAGCACCGCAGAGGCACCAACCUCUUCCUACCUCAGGACCUUUACACAUGCUGUGCCCUUUACCUGAAAUGCUCUGUCUUCCUCGCCCUUCAGGUCACCUCUUAAAUACCACCCCUCAGAGAGGACUUUCCCACCUACAGUUUAAAGUAGGCUCCAGUAUUAUUCUCUCCGGAGCGCUUAGCACAAGUGCAGUCACACCCUGAGCCAGCUGUAAUCCCAGCAUCCAGCACAACGCCCAGAACGAAGAGACAAAUAUUCACGAAAUCGAGGAGCUCCAAGAAGAGCCAAUGUUCCAGAGCCAGUCCGUGUUUGGUCUGGUGGGUAAGGCUUUCUGCCCAAGAGCCACCCGGCGGAAUUUGUGCGUCUGCCGGGCUAAGGGCUGUGUCCUGCCCUCAAACACUUCAGACGGCCACUGAAACCGGAGUCAAGGUGCCGUGUAAACGGCAGAUGCUCCGGGACGGCCUUCGGGACACGCUGCCCCAAAAUGUGGCUGGCACCUUGGCACACUGAACAUCGUCAGCGGAAGGAGUCUGAGAGCACGGCGGAGGCAGGAAGGUCACCUGCUCGCCCGCCUCUCCCUCUGAAUCCGCCAGGUGGAAGGUCCGCUCCCGGUACCAAGAGGAAGGGAGACGUCCAUAUGGCCAGUGUCGGGGAAUGCAGGGCGGGGAGGCGUAUGAGCAAACCCUGCCGGGCCUUCACCGCUCACGACCCCUCCGUCUUGCCAAUUCUCCACAAAUUCAUUGUUUCUUUUUCUAAAAGGUAUAGAGCUUCCCGCUCCGGUCUUCGGGUCUUCAUUCUCCGGUGAAGCCUCCGCGUCUAGGGAAAAGUUCAGCAAACGUGCAUGCUUCUCUCCCGUCCAUCUGUGUCAGCUGAAUUUCCAGACCCGCGAGGACCGCAGGAGGGGACAACUUUCCUCCCUCCACGCAGGCCCCCCUGGCGCGGUCGGGGAAAGGCCGGCUCUGCCUGCCGGGCCGGGGCCGGGGCGGCGGCCGGCAGGUUCGGUCAGCCGGUCCAUCGGGCGCGGAGCGGCUGGCGGCUGCGGCCCCUCGGCGGACGGCGGCGGCCCGGCUCCCCUGCGCUGCUCGUCCUCCCGAGGGCGGCGUAGGAGGCGCGGCUGGAUGCGCGCAGGUGCCCUGCGGGGCCUCCGGCCACCAGGCGGCAGCGUCUGCGAAGCCCGACGGGCAGGCCCGAUCGGCCCCACCGAGCGUCGUCAUGGCAACGAAGGUCGUACGGCGCCUGCGCGCGGCGCAUCCGGAAGUGACAACACCGGAAGGGAUGCACGCGACUGCGCCAUGGCCCGGGAGGCGGUAGGGCGGCCGGCGGAGGAAACUUUCUCGCUCUGGAAACGGGAGCAAGCCCGGCUGAAGGCCCGCGUGGUGGACCGGGACACGGAGGCGUGGCAGCGGGACCCCGCCUUCUCGGGCCUGCAGAGGGUCGGGGGCGUGGAUGUCUCCUUUGUGAAGGGCGACAGUGUCAGCGCCUGCGCCUCCUUGGUGGUGCUCAGCUACCCUGAGCUCGAGGUGGUGUAUGAGGACUGCCGCAUGGUGAGCCUGACGGCCCCCUACGUGUCGGGCUUCCUGGCCUUCCGAGAGGUACCCUUCCUGGUGGACGCGGUGCGGCGACUGCGGGAGAAGGAGCCGUGCCUCAUGCCCCAGGUGCUUCUCGUGGAUGGAAAUGGGGUGCUCCACCACCGAGGCUUCGGGGUGGCCUGUCACCUCGGCGUCCUCACAGACCUGCCGUGCGUUGGGGUAGCCAAGAAACUCCUGCAGGUGGAUGGGCUGGAGAACAAUGCCCAGCACAAGGAGAAGAUACGACUUCUGCAGGCCAGAGGAGACUCAUUUCCUCUGAUGGGAGGCUCUGGGACCAUCCUGGGCAUGGCCCUGAAGAGCCACGACCACAGCACCAAGCCCCUCUAUGUCUCUGUGGGUCACAAGAUGAGCCUGGAGGCGGCCGUGCGCCUGACCCUUGGCUGCUGCAGGUUCCGGAUCCCAGAGCCGGUGCGCCAGGCUGAUAUCCGCUCCCGAGACUACAUCCGCAGGACCCUGGGAGUCCCUGGGCCCCCCGCCCCAGGGCGAGAGAGGAACCAGAAGGCACAGAGGCCAAAGGCAUGCCCCAAGGAGGGCUCAGAAGAGCCUGCAAGUGAGGGCAGGCCCCCUGAGGCCCACAGCGCAGGCCCCAGAACGCACCAGAAAGCCCCAGACCCAGUCGCCCAGGAACAGUAGGGUGUGGGCUGGGGACGGAGCUGGACAACACCAUGAAAACUCUCAGGCUGCCUGCCGCCCCCUCCAGCUUCGGAGCAGUAACUGGCCCUGGGGGAAUCGCCCCCACAACAGCAGAUGGGGUGCCAGGCCCUGAGCACAUGGCACGCAGCCCACUGGAGUGGCUGCCCCUCCCGCUGCACCGUUGGUCACGAGGGCUGGGCCAGCCCCGAGAGAGCUCAGCGGAAGGCGUUGCUCACAGAGCAGAGCGGCAGACCCGGCGAGCGUGUUUAGAAAUUAUCCACUGACUUCCUGCUGUGGGGAUUGAGUUUGUUCCUUCACACACAGCCCCUCACACACACACACACACACACACUCUUUCCUUCUACUCGUCUUCUCAUUUUGGUUGAAUCAGAAUUCCGUGUAUGCAUUAUUUCUUUACACAUACUAUUCACAGCUGAGUAACACAUGGUAAUUACAUCUCCUUUCUUGUACAGCCUCCUGUUUUUCCUGGACUUAAUAAUUGCCUCAUGUUUUGGGUUUGAUUUAUUUUCUUUGUACCCAUUACUUAUUUAUCCCCAAACUCUGCAAUGAAAAGAUAAAUCUCUUUUUGGUGCGUUAAAAACAUUAGGCAAGGGGCUGGCCCCGUGGCGCAGUGGUUAAGUGCGAGUGUUCCGCUUCGGCGGCCCGGGGUUCACCGGUUCGGAUC